UUGAAUUUUCAGGAGAUGCCUUCCUGAUGGAAACCUAUUGGUUGGCAAGCAGCAACUGAGAGAAGCAAAAUUACAAGCAAUCAACCGUCUCCUUUAAUUUACUCUUUAGGAACUCUUACUAAAGUGAAUGAUGAAACAAUUGUGUCCCUAGACUAUGGAUAUACAAUCAUUUAUGUUUAAUGGUGAUGCUGAAGACGGAAAGUCAAAUAGGGUACAAUAUGAAGGUCAUGUCCCUGAAUUGGCCGAAAUGCUUGAAAG